AGGCAAACUUCUCCAAAUGGGAGGAAGAAUUUUGUUCUCACUGAACGAUGUAGUUGAAAAGCACUAUACAGAUAUAAGUUAAGAAGUUUAAAUUCGUCAAACUAUUGAGGAAAACAAAUGAAUCACUGCAAAAGAAAAGUCAAAUCAGUUGAAGAAAAAAGUCGCUCUUUUUUACGACUGGAACCAUGGAGGGUGUAGAAAAGAAGCAGAAGAAGGUUCCUGCUCUGCCAGAAACCCUUAAGAAAAAGCGAAGGAAUUUCGCAGAGCUGAAGAUCAAGCGCCUGAGAAAGAAGUUUGCCCAAAAGAUGCUUCGAAAGCCUAGGAGGAAGCUUAUCUAUGAAAAAGCAAAGCACUAUCACAAGGAAUAUAGGCAGUUGUACAGAACUGAAAUUCGAAUGGCGAGGAUGGCAAGAAAAGCUGGCAACUUCUAUGUACCUGCUGAACCCAAAUUGGCGUUUGUCAUCAGAAUCAGAGGUAUCAAUGGCGUGAGUCCAAAGAUCCAAAAGGUAUUGCAGCUUCUUCGCCUUCGUCAGAUCUUCAAUGGAACCUUUGUGAAGCUCAACAAGGCUUCAAUUAACAGGCUGAGGAUUGUAGAGCCAUAUAUUGCAUGGGGUUACCCCAAUCUGAAGUCAGUAAAUGAGCUAAUCUACAAGCGUGGUUAUGGCAAAAUCAGUAAGAAGCGAAUUGCUUUGACAGAUAAUGCUUUGAUUGCUCGAUCUCUUGGUAAAUAUGGCAUCAUCUGCAUGGAGGAUCUGAUUCAUGAGAUUUAUACUGUUGGAAACGCUUCAAAGAGGCAAAUAACUUCCUGUGGCCCUUGAAAUUAUCUUCUCCACAAGGUGGAAUGAAGAAAAUGACCACCCAUUUUGUAGAAGGUGGAGAUGCUGGCAAUAGGGAAGAUCAGAUCAACAGGCUUAUUAGAAGAAUGAGCUAAGGUGUCUACCUUGAUUAUUUUUCUAAUCUGGUCAGUUAAUAAACAGUACCUGCUCUCAAAUUGAAAAAGAAAAAAAAAAGUCAACAUAAUAGCAUCACAGAUUAAGGAAAUUGCUAUAGCUAAUUUAAUCUGUUGUUUGGAUGACUAAAUUCUCAUGACAGCCAAAUCAGCCAUGCGUUUACAAAUCAUAGAAAUUAGAGCUGGCAUAGAUAAUGACCACCGUCUAGUCAAUACUCUCAUGCUGCAGUUAAGAAAACUGGAGCGAAGGAGGUAAAGUAGCUCAUUCAAGUUCUCACUCCUAAUCUGUGUCUUUUUUAUGGAUUGCCAAUGGAAAAGUUAAACUAACAUGCUUCUUUUCAUUUAUUCUUACUGAAAUUACUUCUUUUACUCUCAAUAAGCUUUGAAGAAAGGGAACCAAAAAUGUCCAGAGAAGAUGAAUCAUCACAGUGCUUUUCUGUCCUGUGGCUUUAUUUCUUUGAAUAUUGAAUUAUGAGAUUUCCAUUGCUUCUGACCCUUUCUAUUUUCCUGUAAAUAGUGAUGGUCCAAAAUUGCCUUUUAAGCACUGAGUACCACUCCCUUUUACUCAUCCGCAUCUAAUUAUUUGUUUUUCUUUUCCUUUCUUGUCAAGUUAAUAGUGUCUGUCGAUAUUUUUAGAGGGCAAAUCAUGUGUGAAGCAACACCAUUUUUAAAGUUUCUGGCACAAGAGACGAUCAGUCCAAAUAUUUAUACAAUACAUGCUGUGCUUCAUAGAUGGCUGCUGAUAAUUGUAUUGAGGCCAUGAAGCAAGGUUUCCCUCCAAGGCAUAGAUUCAGAUUGAAAAAUAUUUGAUAGAGACAAUCAAAUUGGAAAGGAUGAUGGACUUUGUUGCAGUUAAGCUAGGAAGAGCAGUGGAAAUGAGAUCCAGAUAACACUGUUACUGUCCUUUACUAUUUGUGAGGACACUGAGGUGUAUUUUGCACAAAUGACUCAAAUGCAUUUUAUUAGGAAAAAGACUCCUACAGACUAUAGGGGUUUAAGAAAUUUCAUUUUUUCUUCAUAGUAAAAUGUUAAAAGACAAACACUUGUAAAGUUAAAGACUGGGCUCUAUGUGAUUUAUGGCCAGAGACGAAGGGAAAAGAGAGAAGAACAGGCACCAACCAGCCAACAUCUGCCCUCCAAAGAGUUUGUUUUUAUUUUCUUAAAGCAUUUGAGAAAAUAUUUGGCAGUUACUUUUUCCUGAAUCGCUAUGAUGAAAGCAUUGUGUUAACAAGUGUGUCUUGAAUGAAUAACACCUCAUUGUUUGUGAGAGGGCAACCUAUCUCUUUUACAGUAAUUCAAUAUUUUGCCUUCAGUAAUAAAUGAUAGCUUAUUUUU